rnacentral:rRNA from 1 species
CAGUAGCCGCGGUAAUACGAAGGGGGCUAGCGUUGUUCGGAUUUACUGGGCGUAAAGCGCACGUAGGCGGACUUUUAAGUCAGGGGUGAAAUCCCGGGGCUCAACCCCGGAACUGCCUUUGAUACUGGAAGUCUUGAGUAUGGUAGAGGUGAGUGGAAUUCCGAGUGUAGAGGUGAAAUUCGUAGAUAUUCGGAGGAACACCAGUGGCGAAGGCGGCUCACUGGACCAUUACUGACGCUGAGGUGCGAAAGCGUGGGGAGCAAACAGGAUUAGAUACCCGGGUAGUCCCUGUCUCUUAUAC